AUUGAACGCUGGCGGCAGGCCUAACACAUGCAAGUCGAGCGGUAGCACAGGGAGGCUUGCCCCCUGGGUGACGCGCGGCGGGCGGGUGAGUAAUGUCUGGGAAACUGUCUGAUGGAGGGGGAUAACUACUGGAAACGGUAGCUCUUAUAGCAUAUAGUCGCAACACCAAAGAGCGGGACCUCCGGGCCUCUUGCCCUCAGAUGUGCCCAGAUGGGAUUAGCUAGUAGGUGGGGUAAUGGCUCACCUAGGCGACGAUCCCUAGCUGGUCUGAGAGGAUGACCAGCCACACUGGAACUGAGACACGGUCCAGACUCCUACGGGAGGCAGCAGUGGGGAAUAUUGGACAAUGGGCGCAAGCCUGAUGCAGCCAUGCCGCGUGGGUGAAGAAGGCCUUCGGGUUGUAAAGCCCUUUUGUCGAGAAGGAAAGUGGUCAGCUUAAUACGUUCAUGAAUUGACGGUACUCGAAGAAGAAGCACCGGCUAACUUCGUG
rnacentral:rRNA from 1 species